rnacentral:lncRNA from 1 species
AUGAUUGUAAACUUACCAACCCACUUGGGUUGGCCUAGUGGUAUUGGCUUGGAACCUGUGAGUGUGCUCCUCCUCAGGGUCUCAGGUUCGAUUCUCUCUGUGUUUCCAUUAUAGGAGACCUUUAAUGACCAUUUCACGAAGAAGUUUCUGUGCCUUUUCGUUCUCGUCUUUAUGAAAGAGAGCCUGGAUGAUAGUUUCAUAAGUUACAGCAUCAGGAAUGAUACCAUUGUCCUCCAUUUUUGACAACAAGACCUCUGCUUCAUCAAACAAGCCUUCUUUACAAAGUCCAUUGAUCAUAAUAUUAUACGUCCAAGCAUUUACGUUAUAACCCUUAAUCAAAAGAUCCUGAAAAACAUCUUGUGCAUUCUUGAGUUGUCCUCCUUUGCAUAGUCCAUCAAUAAGUAUAUUGUAUGUGCACAUAUUUGGUUGAAUGCCAUGUUCUUUAAUUUUCUUAACUAAUGCAAUAGCCUUGUCAACAUGUUGGUUUUUGCAGAAAACAUCUAUCAAAGAAUUGUAAGUGACUAUGUCGGCUGGUAUACAAUUAUUAUGCAUCUCAUCAACAAGCUCCCAAGCAUAGGGGAUUCUCCCUGCUUUGCACAAACCAUCAAUGAGAGAAUUGUAAGUUACCUUAUGAGGAGCAAUUCCUCUGCAACACAUUUCAUGAAAGAGACAUAAGGCUUCGUCGACC